CUUUACUAACUGCUCUGAAACGGUUCUUCGCAUUUCUUGUUCUCUUGCGUCCUUGUCGUCAGCCAUAUUGGACGCCGUGUGAUUAGUGUUAGGAACGUUGGAAGUAUUUUGAGUAUUACAAGUAACUUUACACGUUUAAGCAUUUUUUGAAAUCAUGUCAGGUGCUCCCGUGAAGACAGAACCCAAAUCUGAACCUAGAGAAACAAACGGACCAGAAAAUCAUCAAAAUCAACACAAUGCAGGUGGGCGAGGUGGCGGUCGUGGUGGAUUUCGGGGCGGUAGAGGAGGACGUCCUAGCCGUUUUCAGGGAUCUCCAGCUAAUCGAGGGAGACAUGAGAAUCAAGAUAGGCCUGAGGGGAUGGAAGAAGGGGAUGGUCAGCCACCACGUGGAGGUGGCGGAUUUAGAGGUAGGGGAGGCUUCAGAGGUGGCUUUAGGGGAGGUGACGACAGAGGACCUCGCUCUCUUGAUGAUCGCUUGACUGACAAGUUGAUGAGCAUUGGUGGUCCAACAAUUGACCUACCUCCCAGUUCAAAUGUGGAGAAGAAGUUUGCAGGGCGAGCUAGACUCUACAUUGGCAAUGUCACCAAUGACCUCACUGAUGAUGAUCUGAAUGGAUUAUUCUCAACUUAUGGAGAAACUAAUGAAUUGUUUGUAAACAGAGAGAAGAACUUUGCUUUCAUUAGGAUGGACUACCGGUCAAAUGCUGAAAAGGCUAAGCGAGAAUUAGAUGGCUCUCUGCAUAAAGGAAGAGUAUUGAAAGUGAGAUUUGCUCCACUAGGAGCGAGUGUUAAAGUGAAAAAUCUAACUCCUUGGGUCUCUAAUGAAUUGUUGGAAAUGGCAUUUUCUAUCUUUGGUGAAGUUGAGCGUGCUGUAGUGGUUGUGGAUGAACGUGGCAACUCUAAAAGAGAGGGAGUGGUGGAGUUUGCCCGCAAGAACAGUGCUUUGGCUGCUCUACGAAAGUGCGCUGAGGGCUGCUACUUUCUUACAAGUUCUCUUCGUCCUGUGGUGUUGGAACCAUUCGAGCCUGCCGAUGAUGCCGAUGGCUAUCCUGAAAAGAACCUCCCCAAGAAAAGCUCUGACUACUUUAAAGCAAGAGAGGUAGGCCCAAGGUUAGCAGCUCCGGGUAGUUUUGAAUUUGAAUAUGGAACAAGGUGGAAGCAACUCCACGAGCUGUACAAACAGAAAGAAGAGGCUCUGUUGAGGGAAAUGAAGUUAGAUGAAGAAAAGUUGGAAGCACAAAUGGAGUAUGCCAGAUAUGAACAAGAAACAGAAAUCCUCAGAGAACAACUACGUCAACGGGAGCUUGACAGGGAACGGCAGAAGAGGGAGUGGGAACUGAAGGAGAGGCAGGCCGAGGAGCAACGAAGAGCUGAUGAAGAGAUGAUGCGGCGGCAGCAGGAUGACAUGUCUCUGCGAAUGAUGCAUCAAGAAGAUGAGUUGCGCAGGCGCCAACAAGAGAACAAUUUGUUUAUGCAGGAACAAAGGGCUCCAGCUUCUGGCUAUGAGACCACUCCUGCUGUUACAGACCAGCGAGAGUAUGACGCAAUAGCAGGAGCUGCAGCUAUUCCAACGAUGGUGAGGCGGUGAACGACGACAUGGCAGUCACUUGGAAACUAGUUGGACCUAAGCUACAGAGCUGCAGAGUUUGCUGAACAGUGGAACCGGUCGACUUUGAGAGCAGUUGUAACAACAUGCCAUGGCUGUACCACUGGGGGAAUAUUUUAACAACAUUUCUCUUGCCCUUGAUGCUAAGCAUUUAUUAUUUUUUUAUUGCAUUUUUAAAUCCAUUAUAAAAUUCAAGGAAAUUAGUAUUUCUCUUAUUCCUUGCACAUAAUAAUUUUAUAUUAUUUUUUAUUUUUAAAAUAUUUUUUAUUAUUUUAAAACCAACUAAGUUAAGUACUUGCCCUUAAAUUAUAUUUAGGAAAAUAUGGCACCUAUACCCCAUGUCCUUAAGUAUUCCUAAAGUACCUGCCGAACAGUCCUUGAGCAAGAGGAUGGAAGUAUCAUCGAGUCACCAUUUCUACUUCUCAGUAGAACAGAGGAAGGAUCCAGGAAGGUGUGAUCUACUGGCAUCCUCUCAGAUCUUUUAAAGAAUCUUUAAAGUUUUUUUAUUUAUUUAUAAAGUGUUAUUAUGAAUCGAGAGAUUUGUACAAAGCAAAUGUACCUUGUGUGUCAAGAUGGACAUUAAAUAUCAUUCGUUAA